rnacentral:rRNA from 1 species
GGCGGACGGGUGAGUAACGCGUAAGAACUUGCCCUUUAGACUGGGAUAACAGAGGGAAACUUCUGAUAAUACUGGAUAAGUUAGUAUAUCGCAUGAUAUGCAAAUGAAAGCUACGGCACUAAAGGAGAGCUUUGCGUCCUAUUAGCUAGUUGGUAAGGUAAGAGCUUACCAAGGCGAUGAUAGGUAGCCGGCCUGAGAGGGUGGACGGCCACAGGGGGACUGAGAUACGGCCCUUACUCCUACGGGAGGCAGCAGAC